CAGCAGUAGCCGCGGGAAUACGUAGGGUGCGAGCGUUAAUCGGAAUUACUGGGCGUAAAGCGUGCGCAGGCGGUUUUGUAAGACAGGCGUGAAAUCCCCGGGCUCAACCUGGGAAUGGCGCUUGUGACUGCAAAGCUAGAGUGCGGCAGAGGGGGAUGGAAUUCCGCGUGUAGCAGUGAAAUGCGUAGAUAUGCGGAGGAACACCGAUGGCGAAGGCAAUCCCCUGGGCCUGCACUGACGCUCAUGCACGAAAGCGUGGGGAGCAAACAGGAUUAGAUACCCGGGUAGUCCCUGUCUCUUAUAC
rnacentral:rRNA from 1 species